CCAAGUUUUUAAGGGCGCACGGUGGAUGCCUUGGCACCAGGAACCGAUGAAGGACGUGGGAGGCCACGAUAGGCCCCGGGGAGUCGUCAACCAGGCUUUGAUCCGGGGGUGUCCGAAUGGGGAAACCCGGCAGUCGUCAUGGGCUGUCACCCUUGCCUGAACACAUAGGGCAAGUGGAGGGAACGCGGGGAAGUGAAACAUCUCAGUACCCGCAGGAAGAGAAAACAACCGUGAUUCCGGGAGUAGUGGCGAGCGAAACUGGAUGAGGCUAAACCGUAUACGUGUGAGACCCGGCAGGGGUUGCGUAUGCGGGGUUGUGGGAGUGUGCUUGACUGGUCUGCCGGCUGGUCGGAGAGUCAGAAACCGUUGGUGUAGGCGAAGGACAUGCGAAAGGUCCGGCGUAGAGGGUAAGACCCCCGUAGUCGAAACAUCAGCGGCUCUCUUGUGUAUUUCCCAAGUAGCACGGGGCCCGAGAAAUCCCGUGUGAAUCUGGCGGGACCACCCGCUAAGCCUAAAUAUUCCCUGGUGACCGAUAGCGGAUAGUACCGUGAGGGAAUGGUGAAAAGUACCCCGGGAGGGGAGUGAAAUAGUACCUGAAACCGUGUGCCUACAAGCCGUGGGAGCGUCGGAACGAGGCUUGCCUUGUUCUCGUGACUGCGUGCCUUUUGAAGAAUGAGCCUGCGAGUUUGCGGUGUGUUGCGAGGUUAACCCGUGUGGGGAAGCCGUAGCGAAAGCGAGUCCGAAUAGGGCGGUUUAGUAGCGCGCUCAAGACCCGAAGCGGAGUGAUCUAGCCAUGGGCAGGUUGAAGCGGAGGUAAGACUUCGUGGAGGACCGAACCCACCAGGGUUGAAAACCUGGGGGAUGACCUGUGGUUAGGGGUGAAAGGCCAAUCAAACUCCGUGAUAGCUGGUUCUCCCCGAAAUGCAUUUAGGUGCAGCGUCGUGUGUUUCUUGCCGGAGGUAGAGCACUGGAUAGGCGAUGGGCCCUACCGGGUUACUGACCUUAGCCAAACUCCGAAUGCCGGUAAGUGAGAGCGCGGCAGUGAGACUGUGGGGGAUAAGCUCCAUGGUCGAGAGGGAAACAGCCCAGAGCAUCGACUAAGGCCCCUAAGCGUACGCUAAGUGGGAAAGGAUGUGGAGUCGCAGAGACAACCAGGAGGUUGGCUUAGAAGCAGCCACCCUUGAAAGAGUGCGUAAUAGCUCACUGGUCUAGUGAUUCCGCGCCGACAAUGUAGCGGGGCUCAAGCGUACCGCCGAAGUCGUGUCAUUGCGAUAUGUACCCCUAACGGGGAUCGUGAUGGGUAGGGGAGCGUCGUGUGCCGGGUGAAGCAGCCGCGUAAGCGAGUUGUGGACGGUUCACGAGUGAGAAUGCAGGCAUGAGUAGCGAUUCACACGUGAGAAACGUGUGCGCCGAUUGACUAAGGGUUCCUGGGUCAAGCUGAUCUGCCCAGGGUAAGUCGGGACCUAAGGCGAGGCCGACAGGCGUAGUCGAUGGAUAACCGGUUGAUAUUCCGGUACCCGCUGUGAAGCGUCAAACAUCGAAUCCAGUGAUGCUAAGCCCGUGAAGCCGUUCCGGACCCUUCGGGGAAUGGAAAGUGGUGGAGCCGGUGGCCCAAGUUGGUAGUAGGUGAGUGAUGGGGUGACGCAGGAAGGUAGUCCAUCCCGGGCGGUGGUUGUCCCGGGGUAAGGGUGUAGGCCGGUGUGUAGGUAAAUCCGCACACCUUGUGGCUGAGACCUGAUGCCGAGCCGAUUGUGGUGAAGUGGAUGAUCCUAUGCUGUCGAGAAAAGCCUCUAGCGAGUUUCAUGGCGGCCCGUACCCUAAACCGACUCAGGUGGUCAGGUAGAGAAUACCGAGGCGUUCGGGUGAACUAUGGUUAAGGAACUCGGCAAAAUGCCCCCGUAACUUCGGGAGAAGGGGGGCCACGUCUGGUGAUGGGCUUUGCGCCUUGAGCUGGGGGUGGCCGCAGAGACCAGCGAGAAGCGACUGUUUACUAAAAACACAGGUCCGUGCGAAGCCGUAAGGCGAUGUAUACGGACUGACGCCUGCCCGGUGCUGGAACGUUAAGGGGACCGGUUAGUCACUCUUCGGGGUGGCGAAGCUGAGAACUUAAGCGCCAGUAAACGGCGGUGGUAACUAUAACCAUCCUAAGGUAGCGAAAUUCCUUGUCGGGUAAGUUCCGACCUGCACGAAUGGCGUAACGACUUCUCGACUGUCUCAACCAUAGGCCCGGUGAAAUUGCACUACGAGUAAAGAUGCUCGUUUCGCGCAGCAGGACGGAAAGACCCCGGGACCUUUACUACAGUUUGAUAUUGGUGUUCGGUUCGGCUUGUGUAGGAUAGGUGGGAGACUUUGAAGCGGGCACGCCAGUGUUCGUGGAGUCGUCGUUGAAAUACCACUCUGGUCGUGCUGGAUGUCUAACCUGGGUCCGUGAUCCGGAUCAGGGACAGUGUCUGAUGGGUAGUUUAACUGGGGCGGUUGCCUCCUAAAGAGUAACGGAGGCGCCCAAAGGUUCCCUCAGCCUGGUUGGCAAUCAGGUGUUGAGUGUAAGUGCACAAGGGAGCUUGACUGUGAGACCGACGGGUCGAGCAGGGACGAAAGUCGGGACUAGUGAUCCGGCGGUGGCUUGUGGAAGCGCCGUCGCUCAACGGAUAAAAGGUACCCCGGGGAUAACAGGCUGAUCUUCCCCAAGAGUCCAUAUCGACGGGAUGGUUUGGCACCUCGAUGUCGGCUCGUCGCAUCCUGGGGCUGGAGUCGGUCCCAAGGGUUGGGCUGUUCGCCCAUUAAAGCGGUACGCGAGCUGGGUUUAGAACGUCGUGAGACAGUUCGGUCCCUAUCCGCUGUGCGCGUAGGAGUCUUGAGAAGGGCUGUCCCUAGUACGAGAGGACCGGGACGGACGAACCUCUGGUGUGCCAGUUGUUCUGCCAAGGGCAUGGCUGGUUGGCUACGUUCGGGAGGGAUAACCGCUGAAAGCAUCUAAGCGGGAAGCCUGCUUCGAGAUGAGGACUCCCACCCACUUGAUGGGGUAAGGCUCCCAGUAGACGACUGGGUUGAUAGGCCGGAUCUGGAAGCACGGUAACGUGUGGAGGUGACCGGUACUAAUAGGCCGAGGGCUUGUCCUC
rnacentral:rRNA from 1 species